UUACUAUGAUAAUCCAUACGUUCAUUAUUUUUAUUAUUACUAUUACUGUUACCACUUAAAUUGGAGUAAUUGUUUUCAUUGUAGUUAUUGCUUUUAUUUUGUUUAGGUUGGUACAUACUUUUUUUAUAAUUAACGUGUUCGUCUUUUUCAGUUUGUUUGUUAUUUGCAUGUUUCUUAUAAUUUUGAUGCUCAUUGGGUUUGGGGCCAUUUGAUUGAUAGUCAUUUGACUUGAAACCAUUUGGCUUGGAACUAUUUGACUUGGGACCACUUGACUGAUAGUCAUUUGACCUGGGACCAUUUGACUUGGAACCAUUUAACCUGGGACCAUUUGACCUGGGCCCACUUGACUUAGGACCACUUGAUUGAUAGCCAUUUGACUGAUUGUUGUUAUUUCUAUUGACCCAAUUAUUCUGUGCAUUGUUAUUAUGAUUAUUUCUAUCCCUUUCUUCCUUUCUACCCAUUGUAUUACGAUUAUUAUUCAACAUGUUAUCAAAAACGACAUAUUUUCCUUUCUUCUGGUUUAAAGCUGCGUUAUCUAAUUUAUUUGGGUUUUUCCUCUUUGAACUUGAAAAAGCAUCAUUAUCCAUAUUUUUUUUUUUUUUUUUUUUUUCUAUAAAUCCGUUGCGUUCGUCUUUUCCGCUAUUUCCGUCCUUUCCUACUUUAACUUAUUACGUUAUUGUUAGACCCCCUUUUUUUUUCUUAUUUAAGUUGUUUCGUCCUAUGUUUCGUCCUACGUUUCGUUCUACGUUUCGUCCUACGUUUGAUUACGUUUGAUUACGUUUGAUUAUGUUUGAUUAUGUUUGAUUAUGCUUGAUUUUUUUUUUUUUUUUUUUUUUAUACAACUUAUUUACAAAUAUUAAAAAAAAAAAUAAGCACUUGUAUGAGUAACUUGUGGCAACAUACAAAGUACAUACAAACUUAAAAUAUGUGUAUAUUUUAACUAUUAAACAUAGUAAUAAAAAAAAAAAAUGCAUGCA
rnacentral:lncRNA from 1 species